ACUUUUAAAAGAUAUUAGUCAAUCUUUUGGUUUUAGGAUCCAAACACCCUGGUGCAACUCCAAGUAAAAGUU
rnacentral:tRNA from 1 species